rnacentral:rRNA from 1 species
AUUGAACGCUGGCGGCAGGCCUAACACAUGCAAGUCGAACGAGAGGCGGACGGGUGAGAUAUGUCUGGGAAACUGCCCGAUGGAGGGGGAAAACUACAGGAAACGGUAGCAAAUACCGAAUACCAUCGGAAGCGCCCAUAUGGGAAGAGCUAGUAGGUGGUGUAACUGCUCACCUAGGCGACGAUCCAUAGCUGGUCUGCGAGGAUGACCAGCCACUCUGGAACUGGGACACGGUCCAGACUCCUACGGGAGGCAGCAGUGGGGAAUAUUGCACAAUGGGCGCAAGCCUGAUGCAGCCAUGCCGCGUGUAUGAAGAAGGCCUUCGGGUUGUAAAGUACUUUCAGCGGGGAGGCGUUACUCACCGAAGAAGCACCGGCUAACUCCGUGCCAGCCGCCGCGGUAAUUC